rnacentral:rRNA from 1 species
GAUGAACGCUGGCGGCGUGCCUAAUACAUGCAAGUCGAGCGAACGGACGAGAAGCUUGCUUCUCUGAUGUUAGCGGCGGACGGGUGAGUAACACGUGGAUAACCUACCUAUAAGACUGGGAUAACUUCGGGAAACCGGAGCUAAUACCGGAUAUAUUUUGAACCGCAUGGUUCAAAAGUAAAAGACGGUCUUGCUGUCACUUAUAGAUGGAUCCGCGCUGCAUUAGCUAGUUGGUAAGGUAACGGCUUACCAAGGCAACGAUGCAUAGCCGACCUGAGAGGGUGAUCGGCCACACUGGAACUGAGACACGGUCCAGACUCCUACGGGAGGCAGCAGUAGGGAAUCUUCCGCAAUGGGCGAAAGCCUGACGGAGCAACGCCGCGUGAGUGAUGAAGGUCUUCGGAUCGUAAAACUCUGUUAUUAGGGAAGAACAUAUGUGUAAGUAACUGUGCACAUCUUGACGGUACCUAAUCAGAAAGCCACGGCUAACUACGUG